rnacentral:rRNA from 1 species
AUAUUCCAGUACUUAUAACAAAUGCGAUGCGGGGACGCAGGAGCGGAAGCAUUGCGCACUGACGGAAUAGUGCGUUGAAGACCAAAGAUAAACGUUUGUAGGUAAGUCCGCAAGUGUGUUGAAGGUUGAAAGUACCACAAGUCCUCCGGGAGGCGUGGAUAAUGUGUGAAAGCAAGCUGCCAAGAAAAGCCGCUAAGCUUCAGUUUGUUAUAACCCGUACCGCAAUCCGACACAGGUGACCGGGAAGAAUAUUCUAAGGCGCUUGAGUGAAUCACGGUUAAGGAACACGGCAAAUUGAUCCUGUAACUUAGGGAGAAGGGAUGCCCCGAGAGGGGCCGCAGAGAAUAGGUCCAGGCGACUGUUUAACAAAAACACAGGGCUCUGCUAAGUCGUAAGACGAAGAAUAGGGUCUGACACCUGCCCGGUGCUGGAAGGUUAAGGGGGGAUGUUAGGGCAACCAAAGCAUUGAACCGAAGCCCCAGUAAACGGCGGCCGUAACUAUAACGGUCCUAAGGUAGCGAAAUUCCUUGUCGGGUAAGUUCCGACCUGCACGAAUGGUGUAACGAUCUAGACACUGUCUCAACCGUGAGCUCAGUGAAAUUGUAGUACCGGUGAAGAUGCCGGUUACCCGCUACGGGACGAAAAGACCCCGUGAACCUUCACUAUAGUUUGACACUGGUGGUGGCUUCAGAAUGUGUAGGAUAGGUGGGAGGCUAAGAUCCGUUGUCGCUAGGUAACGGGGAGCCAACGUUGAAAUACCACUCUUUCUGCAGCUGCCAUCUAACUUGAACAAAGGACACUGUCUGGUGGGUAGUUUGACUGGGGUGGUCGCCUCCAAAAAAGUAACGGAGGCUUCCAAAGGUACCCUCAGCACGCUUGGCAACCGUGCGUAGAGUGCAAUGGCAUAAGGGUGCUUGACUGUGAGACAAACAAGUCGAUCAGGUGGGAAACCAGGGCAUAGUGAUCCGGUGGUUCCGUAUGGAAGGGCCAUCGCUCAAAGGAUAAAAGGUACUCCGGGGAUAACAGGCUGAUCACUCCCAAGAGCUCAUAUCGACGGAGUGGUUUGGCACCUCGAUGUCGGCUCGUCACAUCCUGGGGCUGGAGAAGGUCCCAAGGGUUCGGCUGUUCGCCGAUUAAAGUGGCACGCGAGCUGGGUUCAGAACGUCGCGAGACAGUUCGGUCUCUAUCUGUAGUGGGCGUAAGAUAAUUGAGUGGACCUGACUUUAGUACGAGAGGACCGAGUUGGACGUACCGCUGGUGUACCAGUUGUUGUGCCAACAGCACCGCUGGGUAGCUAUGUACGGCAGGGAUAAGCGCUGAAGGCAUCUAAGCACGAAGCCCACCACAAGAUGAAUUAUCUCCUAAGGGUCGUAGUAGACUACUACGUCGAUAGGCGGAAAGUGUAAAGUUAGUAAUAACAAAGCUGAUCCGUACUAAUUACCCGUAUGAAGUCUUAUG